rnacentral:rRNA from 1 species
AUUGAACGCUGGCGGCAUGCUUUACACAUGCAAGUCGAACGGUAACAGGCCGCAAGGUGCUGACGAGUGGCGAACGGGUGAGUAAUGCAUCGGAACGUGCCCAGUCGUGGGGGAUAACGCAGCGAAAGCUGCGCUAAUACCGCAUACGAUCCAUGGAUGAAAGCGGGGGACCGUAAGGCCUCGCGCGAUCGGAGCGGCCGAUGGCAGAUUAGGUAGUUGGUGGGGUAAAGGCUCACCAAGCCAACGAUCUGUAGCUGGUCUAAGAGGACGACCAUCAACACUGAGAUGGAGACACGGCGCAGACUCCUACGGGGGUCAGCAGUGGGGAAUUUAUGACAAUUGGCGCAAGACUGAUCCAGCAAUGCGGCGUGCAGGAAGAAGGCCUUCGGGUUGUAAACUGCUUGUGUACGGAACGAAACGGUCCUGGUUAAUACCUGGGGCUAAUGACGGUACCGUAAGAAUAAGCACCGGCUAACUACGUGCCAGCAGCCGCAGUAAAAC